CGCACAUUGCGCCCCAUGGUACUCCGUGGGGCAUGCCUGUUCGAGCGUCAUUUCACCCUCAAGCACUGCUUGGUGUUGGGUUUGGUCAUGCCUGUGUGCUUGACCUGCCCUAAAUCGAUCGGCAGCGGGUCCGCCAGCUAUUUGCGCAGCACAUUGCGCGCCUAGUCUGGUACCCGGCGCCGUAAUGCUCCACCGUUUGACCUCGGAUCAGGUAGGGAUACCCGCUGAACUUAA
rnacentral:misc_RNA from 1 species